rnacentral:rRNA from 1 species
GAGCGUUGUCCGGAUUUAUUGGGCGUAAAGAGCUCGUAGGCGUCUUGUUGCGUCGACCGUGAAAACCCGUGGCUUAACUGCGGGCUUGCGGUCGAUACGGGCGGGCUGGAGUUCGGUAGGGGAGACUGGAAUUUACGGUGUAGCAGUGAAAUGCGUAGAGAUCGUAAGGAAGACCAGUGGCGAAGGCGGGUCUCUGGACAGUUCCUGACACUGAGGCACGAAGGCCAGGGGAGCAAACGGG